rnacentral:rRNA from 1 species
AUUGAACGCUGGCGGCAGGCCUAACACAUGCAAGUCGAACGGUAACAGGAAACAGCUUGCUGUUUCGCUGACGAGUGGCGGACGGGUGAGUAAUGUCUGGGAAACUGCCUGAUGGAGGGGGAUAACUACUGGAAACGGUAGCUAAUACCGCAUAACGUCGCAAGACCAAAGAGGGGGACCUUCGGGCCUCUUGCCAUCGGAUGUGCCCAGAUGGGAUUAGCUAGUAGGUGAGGUAACGGCUCACCUAGGCGACGAUCCCUAGCUGGUCUGAGAGGAUGACCAGCCACACUGGAACUGAGACACGGUCCAGACUCCUACGGGAGGCAGCAGUGGGGAAUAUUGCACAAUGGGCGCAAGCCUGAUGCAGCCAUGCCGCGUGUAUGAAGAAGGCCUUCGGGUUGUAAAGUACUUUCAGCGGGGAGGAAGGGAGUAAAGUUAAUACCUUUGCUCAUUGACGUUACCCGCAGAAGAAGCUCCGGCUAACUCCGUGCCAGCCGCCGCCGUAA